AGAGUUUGAUCCUGGCUCAGAUUGAACGCUGGCGGCAUGCCUUACACAUGCAAGUCGAACGGCAGCACGGGGGCAACCCUGGUGGCGAGUGGCGAACGGGUGAGUAAUACAUCGGAACGUGUCCUGUAGUGGGGGAUAGCCCGGCGAAAGCCGGAUUAAUACCGCAUACGAUCUACGGAAGAAAGCGGGGGAUCCUUCGGGACCUCGCGCUAUAGGGGCGGCCGAUGGCAGAUUAGCUAGUUGGUGGGGUAAAGGCCUACCAAGGCGACGAUCUGUAGCUGGUCUGAGAGGACGACCAGCCACACUGGGACUGAGACACGGCCCAGACUCCUACGGGAGGCAGCAGUGGGGAAUUUUGGACAAUGGGGGAAACCCUGAUCCAGCAAUGCCGCGUGUGUGAAGAAGGCCUUCGGGUUGUAAAGCACUUUUGUCCGGAAAGAAAACUUCUGCCCUAAUACGGUGGGAGGAUGACGGUACCGGAAGAAUAAGCACCGGCUAACUACGUGCCAG
rnacentral:rRNA from 1 species